rnacentral:tRNA from 1 species
AGGCGCGUAGCUCAGAUGGCCAGAGCAGCGGUCUCCAAAACCGCCGGUCACAGGUUCGAAUCCUGUCGCGUCUG